CAAAGAUGUACAGUCAUCUCAAAUUAACAUAAAUAUUCAAUCAAAAUCCCAAAAUAAUUUUUUGUCACAAAUGUCAUUUGACACUUUUUAAAGAAAUACAGGCAAGCAGAAUUGCUAUGGAGCCUUUUUAAGAAAUAAAAGCAAUCGGUGAAGAAGGGUUUUUCCCUAUUUAAAUGCAUUAUAAAGCAUCAGUAAUUCAAAAUAUUGUACUUAUGACAACUGACAGAUUGUUGAAUCAGAAUAGAUAGCUUAAAAAUAAACUUUAGCAUGUGUAAAUAUUUUGUUUAUUAUAUAAUGUCAUCACAAAUCUAUAGGAAAGAAUUAUUUGAUUAAUGAUAUCUACACAAUUAGCUAACUAUGGAGGAGGACAUCAUUGUAAAUUCUCAGCACUCAGAAGAGAAAAUAAAUAAAUCCCAGACAGAACAAGUAGCUAAAUGUGUAAAACAGAAGUAUAAAAUAAGAAGAAAAUAGAUUUGUAUUAUCUUUCUUGUCUGAGAUUGUAGACUGACUUGUCAAGUGUAAAAGCAAUGAUAAAAUGUCAUGAAAAAGAUUAUUUAACUUUUGAUAUGAUUUGGCUGUGUCCCCACCUAAAUGUCAUUUGAAUUAUACUUCCCAUAAUCCCCACAUGUCAUGGGGGGAGGGACCCACUGGGAGGUAAUUGAAUCAUGGGGGUGGUUACGCUCCUGUUGAUCUUUUCCCCUCUUUACUUGGCACUUCUCUCUCCUGCUGCCAUGUGAAGAAGAAUGUGUUUGCUUCCCCUUCUGCCAUGACUGUAACUUUCCUGAGGCCUCUUCAGCCAUGCUGAACUACGGAGUUUCGCUCUUGUUACCCAUGCUGGAGUGCAAUGGCGCGAUCUCGGCUCACCGUAACCUCCACCUCCUGAGUAGCUGGGAUUACAGGCACACACCACCAUGCCCAGCUAAUUUUUUGUAUUUUUAGUAGAGAUGGGGUUUUACCAUGUUGACCAGAAUGGUCUCGAUCUGUUGACCUUGUGAUCCACCCGCCUUGGCCUCCCUAAGUGCUGGGAUUACAGGCUUGAGCCACCGCGCCUAGCCCCACAUCUUUCUAUAUAAGGUUUAAUGUAUGGUAACAAUGAUCUAAUUAGUUGAGGUAGUCUUUUUCUUUCAGGAAAGGUAUAUGUAACAUUUCACACUGAAGAUGUAGCGGUCAUGGAGUCUUUUGCAGCAUCUAGUCAGAGUUAGUACAAAGCAAUAAAGGGGGCAGUUAAUCUAUAACA
rnacentral:lncRNA from 13 species